ACGGGGCCCGCACAAGCAGUGGAGUAUGUGGUUUAAUUCGACGCAACGCGAAGAACCUUACCAGGGCUUGACAUCGCUUGAUCGCUCUAGAGAUAGAGCUUUCCCUUCGGGGACAAGUAGACAGGUGGUGCAUGGUUGUCGUCAGCUCGUGUCGUGAGAUGUUGGGUUAAGUCCCGCAACGAGCGCAACCCUUAUUGUCAGUUGCCAGCAUUCAGUUGGGCACUCUGGCGAGACUGCCGUUGACAAAACGGAGGAAGGUGGGGACGACGUCAAAUCAUCAUGCCCCUUAUGUCCUGGGCUACACACGUGCUACAAUGGUUGGUACAACGAGUUGCGAGUCGGUGACGGCGAGCUAAUCUCUUAAAGCCAAUCUCAGUUCGGAUUGUAGGCUGCAACUCGCCUACAUGAAGUCGGAAUCGCUAGUAAUCGCGGAUCAGCACGCCGCGGUGAAUACGUUCCCGGGCCUU
rnacentral:rRNA from 1 species